rnacentral:rRNA from 1 species
GAUCAUUGUCGAAACCGUGCCCCGUCAGAACGACCCCGCGAAC